rnacentral:rRNA from 1 species
UACGUAGGUGGCAAGCGUUGUCCGGAAUUAUUGGGCGUAAAGCGCGCGCAGGCGGCCUCUUAAGUCUGAUGUGAAAUCUUGCGGCUCAACCGCAAGCGGCCAUUGGAAACUGGGGGGCUUGAGUACAGAAGAGGAGAGUGGAAUUCCACGUGUAGCGGUGAAAUGCGUAGAUAUGUGGAGGAACACCAGUGGCGGAGGCGACUCUCUGGUCUGUAACUGACGCUGAGGCGCGAAAGCGUGGGGAGCAAACAGG